UAGCCGCACACAGUGUUAUAUUUUUAGAAGACAAAAGCAAGACAAAGCAAAUAAAACAGAGAAUAAGAAUAAUGAUGGAACCCAUUGAAAGGAAGAGAGAAAAGAAGGCAUUAAAUGAGAAUUUGUCAACCUAGGAAAGAAUUAAAUACGUCUAAAAGUAGACAAUCCUUGCAACAAUAGCUGGGCCAAGAAAUGAGCAUAGAUAAUCAGGCUAGUUAAAAAGACCAGGGCGCAAAGUAAUUUAACGCAUAAAAUUUUUUAAAAGAAUCACAAAUAUCAACAUUGUGAACUAUAGCCG
rnacentral:misc_RNA from 1 species